rnacentral:rRNA from 1 species
AACGCGAAGAACCUUACCUGGGCUUGAACCGCACAGGACCAUCUUUGGAAACAGAGACUUCCCGCAAGGGACCUGUGUAGAGGUGCUGCAUGGCUGUCGUCAGCUCGUGCCGUGAGGUGUUGGGUUAAGUCCCGCAACGAGCGCAACCCUUACUCGUAGUUGCCACCCGCAAGGGGGAACUCUACGAGGACUGCUCCGGAUAACGGAGAGGAAGGUGGGGAUGAGGUCAAGUCAGCAUGGCCUUUAUGUCCAGGGCUACACACGUGUUACAAUGCGCGCCACAAAGCGUCGCGAACCCGCGAGGGGGAGCUAAUCGCAAAAAAGCGCGCUCAGUUCGGAUUGCAGUCUGCAACUCGACCGCAUGAAGCCGGAAUCGCUAGUAAUGGCGCAUCAGAACGGCGCCGGAAUACGUUCCCGGGUCUUGACACCCAA